rnacentral:rRNA from 1 species
CUGGCGGCGUGCUUAACACAUGCAAGUCGAGCGGUAAGGCCCUUCGGGGUACACGAGCGGCGAACGGGUGAGUAACACGUGGGUGAUCUGCCUCGUACUUCGGGAUAAGCCUGGGAAACUGGGUCUAAUACCGGAUAUGACCACAGGAUGCAUGUCUUGUGGUGGAAAGAUUUAUCGGUACGAGAUGGGCCCGCGGCCUAUCAGCUUGUUGGUGGGGUAAUGGCCUACCAAGGCGACGACGGGUAGCCGGCCUGAGAGGGCGACCGGCCACACUGGGACUGAGACACGGCCCAGACUCCUACGGGAGGCAGCAGUGGGGAAUAUUGCACAAUGGGCGAAAGCCUGAUGCAGCGACGCCGCGUGAGGGAUGACGGCCUUCGGGUUGUAAACCUCUUUCGACAGGGACGAAGCGCAAGUGACGGUACCUGUAGAAGAAGCACCGGCCAACUACGUGCCAGCAGCCGCGGUAAUACGUAGGGUGCGAGCGUUGUCCGGAAUUACUGGGCGUAAAGAGCUUGUAGGC